UCUCUGCGCUCGUAUGCCAUAUGUGUCCGCGCACGCCCGAUGAUGUCAGACGCUCGGGCGUGCGGGGGGGGGAUAUAAGGAGCCAGCCCAGUCCAUCAUGUCUGCUGCUCCCAACUGCAACACAGUCCCCAUGACCCGUGUAUCCAUGCAGACUGUGUGAACAGGCCUAUUUCCCUCUCAUGCACUUAACAAGACGAGGCUCCUUGACCACCUUCUGUGCUUUAAAACCUUGUUUUAUGCAAGCUGGUUAUAUAAUUCUGGUCGCUUUUAGAACCCCUGAAGAAGCCGACUACGGCGAAAUAUAUUGAGUCAAAUAACAUCCCAAACCGACCAGUAGUUCAACAUUGGGGAAUUCCAGCAACCCAAAUAUCCGAAUUCUGACAAAUUGUUUUUAAAUGGUGUAUUAUGUAUUGUAUAAAAUUCAAACUUUGAUGUUUUAAUAAAUUGUUAUAAAAUUGAA